ACAAUGGCCUGAAGGAGAUGACAUCAUCCUGUAGCAACUCUGGCUUACAGUGUACAGGGUCGUUCGACAUACCUAGGACCAGAGGGAAUUUGAGAAACCAUCAGGAAUAGGAAAGAAGGAGAGUGUCGAAACCAGUUUGAAGGUCACAGCUGUUGUGUAAAGGAUACGAUGUAGAUAACGCUCCAGACACACCUCACUUCCUGAGAGGA